UGUGGUGAUGAUGGCCUGAAGGAUACACCUGUUCCCAUGCCGAACACAGAAGUUAAGCUUCAGCACGCCCUGCGAGGAUAGGACGUUGCCACGC
rnacentral:rRNA from 1 species